rnacentral:misc_RNA from 1 species
GAAAUGCGAUAAGUAAUGUGAAUUGCAGAAUUCAGUGAAUCAUCGAAUCUUUGAACGCACAUUGCGCCCGCCAGUAUUCUGGCGGGCAUGCCUGUUCGAGCGUCAUUUCAACCAUCAAGCCCCCGGGCUUGUGUUGGGGACCUGCGGCUGCCGCAGGCUCCGAAAACCAGUGGCGGGCUCGCUGUCACACCGGGCGUAGUAGAUUUUUCGUCUCGCCCAGGGCGUGCUGCGGGUUCCGGCCGUUAAAAAGCCUCUCUUUUAACCCAAGGUUGACCUCGGAUCAGGUAGGAAGACCCGCUGAACUUAAGC